GCGUCAGCCGUGCCGCUGGGGCCGCGUAGGAGAGCUGAGCUGCUGGGUCCUGCCGUCAGUGCAGUUUCUUGGCAGCACGUUGGGGACACUGCGCCAUGAGAACAGAGCCACAGAAUGUUAAAGGCACAGCCUCCUUCGAGGGCAUUUGCAUAAUGCCUCCCGUUUACAGAUGAGGAAAUUGAGGCCCAAAGAGGUGAUGGGAAAGGCCCAAAGCUGCAUUUCUGGAUUCUGGCAGCUGGGACCAGAUCCAGCUCGUAUUGACAUGGUUUAAGCACUUUUUCAAUGAGCACUUAUCAAAAACCUAGAUACUGUGUACUCAGUGUCUUGAGUGGCAGCGAAAGAUAACCACGAAUACGUCAGAAGCAGUGUAGCCACGGCUGCUCUGGAUUUGGGCAUAGAAACAGACAGACCUGGGUUUGAUAUGAUGAUUUCCAGGACCACACUACUAGUUGGAUGGCCUUAGUGAAGCAGUUAACCGCUCCAUGCCCUAGUUUUCUGGUCUGCAAAACGGAGAUAAAAAUAGGCUAGGGUCGUGGGAUUUAAAUGAGAUAAGGUGCACAUUGUUUAGCACAGUGCCUGCGCAUGGAAGGCUCUCAAAUAAAUAUUCGUGCAAUGUUUUGAGAAGUAGAAAGUGCUAGGCACGUAGGCGUUCAGGAGACAGUCACGGUACUCGUUUCCAGACAGAAGUCAUGAGGAACAAGAGGGAAGGUGCUUUCCCGUGUGCAGCGCUUGGGGAGACUCACACAGACAGAGGAUCUGGCAUGACAGGGAAAGGAGGAAAUGGCUUCUGUUAAUCUCUCCUUCAGCUUCUCCCGCCCUUCCUAUGCACCCUUUCUGUUUCCCUUUCCAGUUCUCACGGUGACUCAAGUUCUCUGUAAAAAUGUGGCCUAUCUUGCACUGGAUGGAAGACGAGGAAGAGAUUCUCAGUCAAACCUGCCUGGUUUCCUCAAACUCUGUUUAAUACAAAUGCCAAAGUUUGACACAUUCUAACCACUUUGCUUUCUUUGGCAACUCCAACUUUGACAAGAGAGUAAGAAUGUCUCCUCCUUGACAGGAACAAUGUGUGAAAUGAAAGACCUCAGGUGAUGUAUUGGCUCUUGACAGCUCUUCAGAAGAAAAUACCUCCUGCCUGUUCUGUUCAGUCCUGGUGCAGGUGAGUCACUGCCUUGCCAGCCAGGCAAGUAUUUUAAGAAACAAAAUCUAAGCCGGAACCAGCAGAGAAAUACAAGGGAUGGAUUAGCGCCAUUAGCUUUGAUGGUGUCUUGUUGUCAUGGUGCUAGGAAAAUCACUAUCAUUUAGAGUCCCACUCACCAGCUGUUUUGCUGGAAUUUUUGACAUGAGAGGCUGGUGGCCACCCUAACACAGGCGUGGGACAUGGGUGUGCACACACACGUACACCUGCAGCAGACACCCACUCUAGAGGGCUCACGUUGGUUGUCUGGGACGUGAUUCAAAGGCUGUACCCAUGUGUAUGACAAUCCUGUUUCCCGUACAUCAGCUUCCAGGAAGCCAAAUGACCCACCGGCUUACCCACAUCGCAGGAAGCUUUGGAGCAGAGUCAGUGACUAUGUGAACCUGCCUCAACCUCUGCUCCCUGGUUCAGCAUUUGGCUUGGGAAAAAUGACACUAUUUCCUGUCUCUUAAACAUUAUUUCAAGGCACAGGUCUUCCACCAUUCUGAGAGGCAGGGGGAUCUUUGAGUUCUGCCAGGAGCUGGGGGUUAGGGGUAGGGGAAUCCCGCCCAAGGGAAAUGACUAGAAUCUUUGUCAGGCUGUGGAACACAGGCAUUUCUGGGUAGGUGGCCUCCCCUGUGGCCUCUCCUGGCAUCUACACUGCAAAGUCCCCCGUAUCUACUGAAAGGGGUGAGGGUGGGGGCAUUCAUUGGUACUGGGAGGCAAGCUUUGAGUGGAAAGGAGCUUCUCUCGUGGCCCUCCAGUGAGCCACACUAGAGGAGGCCUCAGAUGCAUAGUGCUCCCUGCUCAGACUCACACUUGCCUGACUCCCUCCCUCGUGCUCUUCUUUCGGCUGCCCUUACCUGGGGGACUACAGUGGCUGUGGGGGUGCAGCAGGGGUUGGGGGGGCGGCAAACCUCACUACCUGGCUUUUCCCAAGUCCCUUUAAUUAAGCCAAAUCUUUGUAUGAAUGUAAAACACAAGUAGGCUUUAUCCCUGGGCCCUGUGCUCCUCUGCCCCAGAUUCUGACUCAAGGGCUUGGAGCAGACUUAUUUUUACUAAAAGCCCAAGUGAUUCGAUUGCAGGUGGUCCUGGACAACACUUUGAAAAAUGCUGGGGCAGAAACAAGCCAGCAAGCAUAUGGGAUUCAUCUGCUGUGAGUGAUAAUUUAUCUAGUUUCUAAAAAUAGUGUUAUAGGCUGGACUGUGUCCCCUUCCCGUGCCCCGCCGCCAUGCAUAUAUGGACGCCCUAACCCCUAGUACCUCAGAAUGUGACUGUAUUUGGAAACAGGGCCUUUGAAGAAGUAAUUAAGUUAAAAUGAGGUCAUUAGGGUGGGCAGUAAUACAGUAUAACUGGUGUCCUUAUAAGAAGAGAUUAGGACACAGAUGCACACAGAGGGAAGACCAUAUGAACACAGAGGGAGAAGACAGCCACCUGCAAGCCACAGAGAGAGCCCUUCAAAGAAACCAACCCUGCAGACAAUUUGAUCUCAGGUUUCUGGCCUCCAGAAUUGUGAGAAAAUAAAUUUCUGUUGUUUAAGUCA